UGCAGUGAAACAACGUGACAUGAUGACAUUUGCAGGAUCCUAUAAGCCUAGGAAAAAGAUUAGGAUUUCCUUCAGUCGUAAUUAAGAUACAGAACAAAAACACCAUUAGGGUAAGAAGAGGUUAAAAUAAGGAGUAAAAACCCACACUGCUGUACCUCGGAAGCCUUCCACUCUGGCCUUUCAGAUCUUUGCAAUAAUUUUUCCGAGUGCUUCCCAGUGCAGGCCAGAGAGAAUUUUUUAUGAACUCCUGAAAAUAGAUUUAAAAUUCACAAAGUCUCCUAACAACCGGUCUGCUUCCUGCCACUCUCCGGUACGGUCGUUUUUCAGCUGAGAACUCAGCAAAGCUCAACAGACUGACAUAUGGCCGUGACUGGGCUGCUAAACACCCUCUGAUGUUGAGGAGAUGAUAUUCUACAGCCUUUGGCUUCUAUGAUUUUUAGCGGAUUCAGAUCUAAGCCUCUUUUGCCCUUUCAAAUCCACCGGAAAAACGUUACCGAGAUGUAUUAGUACCAUCUACCGUUGAAAGCAUCUGUGAAUUGCCACAUCAUAAUCCUAAUCGAGUCUUAUGCUCCAAUGAUAACGCCCUUAGUCCUGCAGCUGAGUUCCAGACACUGAAGGGAAGGUCACCUGGGCACCUGUGUUUAUUCUGAGUGCCUCAAGCUUAUUGCUCUUGGCAGCUUGGAGUCCAGGAUUUAACUCAGCAAGAGAAGGUAACAUGUGGAGUUAUCAUGUGGAGUUCUCCAUCAAAGAGACUAACGGCAUCAUAGGACACGACAGUCUCCAGACCAAUUGUGAAUUUACAUCUUCUAAUGUUCCUCUAAGUGGAAGGAAUUAAUGUGGCAUGUUUCAAUUUGCCUAAUGAGACUGAGCAGGGCAGCAAGCCUCCAGCCAUCACUAGUUCUAAGCAUCCAACCAAAAAAAGGAAAA